rnacentral:rRNA from 1 species
GCUCAGGAUGAACGCUAGCUACAGGCUUAACACAUGCAAGUCGAGGGGCAGCAUUUUAGUUUGCUUGCAAACUGAAGAUGGCGACCGGCGCACGGGUGAGUAACACGUAUCCAACCUGCCGAUAACUCCGGAAUAGCCUUUCGAAAGAAAGAUUAAUACCGGAUAGCAUACGAAUAUCGCAUGAUAUUUUUAUUAAAGAAUUUCGGUUAUCGAUGGGGAUGCGUUCCAUUAGUUUGUUGGCGGGGUAACGGCCCACCAAGACAACGAUGGAUAGGGGUUCUGAGAGGAAGGUCCCCCACAUUGGAACUGAGACACGGUCCAAACUCCUACGGGAGGCAGCAGUGAGGAAUAUUGGUCAAUGGGCGAGAGCCUGAACCAGCCAAGUAGCGUGAAGGAUGAAGGCUCUAUGGGUCGUAAACUUCUUUUAUAUGGGAAUAAAGUUUUCCACGUGUGGAAUUUUGUAUGUACCAUAUGAAUAAGGAUCGGCUAACUCCGUGCCAGCAGCCGCGGUAAUACGGAGGAUCCGAGCGUUAUCCGGAUUUAUUGGGUUUAAAGGGAGCGUAGGUGGAUUGUUAAGUCAGUUGUGAAAGUUUGCGGCUCAACCGUAAAAUUGCAGUUGAAACUGGCAGUCUUGAGUACAGUAGAGGUGGGCGGAAUUCGUGGUGUAGCGGUGAAAUGCUUAGAUAUCACGAAGAACUCCGAUUGCGAAGGCAGCUCACUAGACUGUCACUGACACUGUUGCUCGAAAGUGUGGGUAUCAAACAGGAUUAGAUACCCUGGUAGUCCACACAGUAAACGAUGAAUACUCGCUGUUUGCGAUAUACAGUAAGCGGCCAAGCGAAAGCAUUAAGUAUUCCACCUGGGGAGUACGCCGGCAACGGUGAAACUCAAAGGAAUUGACGGGGGCCCGCACAAGCGGAGGAACAUGUGGUUUAAUUCGAUGAUACGCGAGGAACCUUACCCGGGCUUAAAUUGCAACAGAAUAUAUUGGAAACAGUAUAGCCGUAAGGCUGUUGUGAAGGUGCUGCAUGGUUGUCGUCAGCUCGUGCCGUGAGGUGUCGGCUUAAGUGCCAUAACGAGCGCAACCCUUAUCUUUAGUUACUAACAGGUGAUGCUGAGGACUCUAGAGAGACUGCCGUCGUAAGAUGUGAGGAAGGUGGGGAUGACGUCAAAUCAGCACGGCCCUUACGUCCGGGGCUACACACGUGUUACAAUGGGGGGUACAGAAGGCGGCUACCUGGUGACAGGAUGCUAAUCCCAAAAACCUCUCUCAGUUCGGAUCGAAGUCUGCAACCCGACUUCGUGAAGCUGGAUUCGCUAGUAAUCGCGCAUCAGCCAUGGCGCGGUGAAUACGUUCCCGGGCCUUGUACACACCGCCCGUCAAGCCAUGAAAGCCGGGGGUACCUGAAGUACGUAACCGCAAGGAGCGUCCUAGGGUAAAACUGGUAA